rnacentral:rRNA from 1 species
UACGUAGGGGGCAAGCGUUGUCCGGAUUUAUUGGGCGUAAAGAGCUCGUAGGCGGUCUGUUGCGUCUGCUGUGAAAACUCGGGGCUUAACCCCGAGCCUGCAGUGGAUACGGGCAGACUAGAGGUAGGUAGGGGAGAAUGGAAUUCCCGGUGUAGCGGUGAAAUGCGUAGAUAUCAGGAGGAACACCGGUGGCGAAGGCGGCCCUCUGGACGGUGACUGACGCUGAGACGCGAAAGCGUGGGGAGCAAACAGG